UACGUAGGGUGCAAGCGUUAAUCGGAAUUACUGGGCGUAAAGCGUGCGCAGGCGGUUAUGUAAGACAGGUGUGAAAUCCCCGGGCUUAACCUGGGAACUGCAUUUGUGACUGCAUAGCUAGAGUACGGUAGAGGGGGAUGGAAUUCCGCGUGUAGCAGUGAAAUGCGUAGAUAUGCGGAGGAACACCGAUGGCGAAGGCAAUCCCCCUGGACCUGUACUGACGCUCAUGCACGAAAGCGUGGGGAGCAAACGAGG
rnacentral:rRNA from 1 species